rnacentral:rRNA from 1 species
AUGCCUCAACUUGAUAAAUUAACUUAUUUCUCACAAUUUUUCUGGUUAUGUCUUCUCCUCUUUACUUUUUAUAUUCUCUUAUUUAAUAAUAAUAAUGGAAUACUUGGAAUUAGUAGAAUUCCCAAACUACGGAACCAACUGCUUUCGCGCCGGGGGGGGGCGAGAUCCAGAGCAAGGACCCUAAGAAUCUGGGAGAUAUAUCGAGAAAAGGUUUUAGCACCGGUCUCUCAUAUAUGUACUCCAGUUUAUCCAAAGUAUCCCAAUGGUGUAAGACCGUCGACUAUUUGGGAAAAAGGAGGAAAAUCACUCUAA